rnacentral:rRNA from 2 species
UUGACCUCGAAUCAGGUAGGAAUACCCGCUGAACUUAAGCAUAUCAAUAAGCGGAGGAAAAGAAACCAACCGGGAUUACCU